rnacentral:lncRNA from 1 species
GUGAGUAGCUUCGCGUGUGCAGCGCGUGGCCCGACUUCAGCUCCUGCGAGGCUGGUUUCGAGGUAAAAGAUUAUUUUAUUUAAAAGCACACGAAAGGAAUAUGGAAGAACUGUGGGAUGCUAUGACAAAACUAAACCUUCAAAUUGUAGGCAUAGAUUAGAAAGAAGCGUCCUAAGCCGACACACGUUUAUAUAGACACAAGAAGCACACAGAACACCAAAUAAGAAAACAAAUGCUUUACAGUAUAAUCAGGGUUAUACUGAUUAUAUUGAAAGUUAAAAAAGCCACAAGUAAUAUAAGCUAAGCAAAAUUAUCUGCUGUAGUUGAAGAAAAAAAAUUUCCAUGAUCCAAACAGUCUGAAGGAAUUCCUAUCCAAUAGACCAAGCCAACAAAGGAUACUGGAUACAAUACUUCAGUCUCCGACUGAAGAAAGGAAGACGCACAGCCAAUAUACUGUAGAAAGCAAGUGAAGCAUGGGGAGGAUGAGAGAAAACAACAUGAGUGUAAACAACACACACCUUCUCCAGUCACAUGACACAGGCUGGCUGAAAGAAGAAGAAACAAAAUCCAUCUUUCUGUUGUUUUUGAGGCCCCACAUUAGAGUAAAAGGAUGGAAAACAGUACUUCAGUCUAAUGGGACUAGGAGGCUAGAGGUACUGCUAUCCUAAUAUCUGGCAAAACAAACAC